rnacentral:rRNA from 1 species
GACGAACGCUGGCGGCGCGCCUAACACAUGCAAGUCGAACGAGAGAUGAAGAGCUUGCUCUUCAGAUCGAGUGGCGAAUGGGUGAGUAACGCGUGAGGAACCUGCCUCAAAGAGGGGGACAACAGUUGGAAACGACUGCUAAUACCGCAUAAGCCACGGCUCGGCAUCGAGCAGAGGGAAAAGGAGCAAUCCGCUUUGAGAUGGCCUCGCGUCCGAUUAGCUAGUUGGUGAGGUAACGGCCCACCAAGGCGACGAUCGGUAGCCGGACUGAGAGGUUGAACGGCCACAUUGGGACUGAGACACGGCCCAGACUCCUACGGGAGGCAGCAGUGGGGAAUAUUGCACAAUGGGGGAAACCCUGAUGCAGCGACGCCGCGUGGAGGAAGAAGGUCUUCGGAUUGUAAACUCCUGUUGUUGAGGAAGAUAAUGACGGUACUCAACAAGGAAGUGACGGCUAACUACGUGCCAGCAGCCGCAGUAA